UCCUGGCUCAGGAUGAACGCUAGCUACAGGCUUAACACAUGCAAGUCGAGGGGAAACGAUAGAGAAAGCUUGCUUUUUCUAGGCGUCGACCGGCGCACGGGUGAGUAACGCGUAUCCAACCUGCCCAUCACUUGGGGAUAACCUUGCGAAAGUAAGACUAAUACCCAAUGACGUCUCUAGAAGACAUCUGAAAGAGAUUAAAGAUUUAUCGGUGAUGGAUGGGGAUGCGUCUGAUUAGCUUGUUGGCGGGGUAACGGCCCACCAAGGCGACGAUCAGUAGGGGUUCUGAGAGGAAGGUCCCCCACAUUGGAACUGAGACACGGUCCAAACUCCUACGGGAGGCAGCAGUGAGGAAUAUUGGUCAAUGGACGAGAGUCUGAACCAGCCAAGUAGCGUGAAGGAUGACUGCCCUAUGGGUUGUAAACUGCUUUUAUAAGGGAAUAAAGUGGGAGUCGUGACUCUUUUUGCAUGUACCUUAUGAAUAAGGACCGGCUAAUUCCGUG
rnacentral:rRNA from 1 species